UAACACGUGGGUAACCUGCCUUAUAGUGGGGGAUAGCCCUUCGAAAGGAAGAUUAAUACCGCAUAAGAUUGUAGUAUCGCAUGAUAUAGCAAUUAAAGGAGCAAUUCGCUAUAAGAUGGACCCGCGUCGCAUUAGCUAGUUGGUGAGGUAAUGGCUCACCAAGGCGACGAUGCGUAGCCGACCUGAGAGGGUGAACGGCCACAUUGGGACUGAGACACGGCCCAGACUCCUACGGGAGGCAGCAUG
rnacentral:rRNA from 1 species